AGUGAACGCUGGCGGUAGGCCUAACACAUGCAAGUCGAACGGCAGCACAGUAAGAGCUUGCUCUUACGGGUGGCGAGUGGCGGACAGGUGAGGAAUACAUCGGAAUCUACUUUUUCGUGGGGGAUAACGUAGGGAGACUUACGCUAAUACCGCAUACGACCUACGGGUGAAAGCAGGGGAUCUUCGGACCUUGCGCGAUUGAAUGAGCCGAUGUCGGAUUAGCUAGUUGGCGGGGUAAAGGCCCACCAAGGCGACGAUCCGUAGCUGGUCUGAGAGGAUGAUCAGCCACACUGGAACUGAGACACGGUCCAGACUCCUACGGGAGGCAGCAGUGGGGAAUAUUGGACAAUGGGCGCAAGCCUGAUCCAGCCAUACCGCGUGGGUGAAGAAGGCCUUCGGGUUGUAAAGCCCUUUUGUUGGGAAAGAAAAGCAGCAGGUUAAUACCCCGCUGUUCUGACGGUACCCAAAGAAUAAGCACCGGCUAACUUCGUG
rnacentral:rRNA from 1 species